CUCUAGUUCAUUGGAAAUUUCUGCUUCUUUGAGACUGGGUUAGAUUCCACUUCUUCUGACUACACCACCACCAUCAAUCUCCUUCUCUGAACUCCUGGAUCAUUACUUCAAUCUGAAACAAUUCAUCAGGCAGAAUAGUUGCCUACUGCCCCAACCCCACCAAAUGUUCCAGCACCUCUGAUAUUACCUCACAUGGCAAGAGGGCUUUGAAGAUGUGAUUGAUUCAAGGAUCUUAAAUGGGGAGAUUAUCCUGAAUUAUUCAGGUGGACCCAGUGUAAUCACAAAGGUUUUUCAAAGAUGGAAGAGAGGCAGAAGAGCCAGAAAAGGAUAUGUGACAAUGGAGUCAGUGUCAGAGCUGGAGUGAUGUGAUGUGAGAAGGAUUCAACCUGCUGCUUCUGGCUUUGAGGAUGAAAGAAGGGGCCAUGGGCCAAGGAAUACAGGUGGCUUCUUUCAAGAAGCUGGAAAAGGGCCAAACUCUGUAAAGAAUAUGGAGAACUGACAAUAUAUUGGAGCUUCCAACUUGCUCUUUCUUGCACUGCUUCUCUGAGGAAACCCAGCUACCAUGUCCUGAGGAUGCUCACCAUCUACAGAGAGUUUACUUGGAGAGAAACUGAAGUCUCCAGCCAAGACCCAGCAUCAACUUCCCAGUUACGUGAGUGAGCCAUCCUGGAAGCAAACUCUCCAGCACCAGUAAAGUGUUUAGAUGACUGCAGCCCCUUUCAACAUCUUGACUGCAACCUCAUGAGAGACCCUUAGCCAGAACCACCCAGCUAAACCCAUCCAGAUGCACAGAAACUGUGGGAGAUCAUAAAUGUUUAUUGCUGUUUUAAGCUUCUAAGUUUGGGGGUAUUUUGUUAUUCAGCAAUAGGUAACUAACACAACACUCUACCCACCAGAUGACAAAUCAUUUCCGAUAUAGUAAAAGAAACCUUCAACAAUAUACUUCUAUUUCACCUCCUGUCCACAUAUACUACUUUCUGUGUUUUAUUGUGAUUCCUAGCUAGUGAAGUUUGGCAAGAAAAAGGAACAGAAUACAUAGAGAUUGGAAAGGAAAGUGUUUUUAUUUGCAGAUGACAUGAUAAUCCACAUUAAAAAAAAUGAAGAAUUGUGCUACUGGAACUAAUAAGUAAGUUUAACAAGGCUGCAGGAUAGAAGGUCAAUAUUCAGAAAUUCAUUAUAUCUCUAUAUAGUCACAAUUGACUAUAUUGACAAUUGGGAUUUCAUAUUAAUUUAAUAAUACCAUUUUUAUGGCACUUGAUGUUGGUAAAAUGUAAACAUUUUAGGGAUAAAUGUCAUAAAAUAUGUGUACAAUCUGUAUACUCAAAAGCACAAAAUGUACUGAAAGAAAUUAGAUAAAACCUCAAUAAAUGGAGAUAUAAACCAUGUUCACAGAUUGGGAGACUAAUUGUUAAAAUAUCAAAUGUCCCCAAACUGAUUCCAUGUUUAUCAAAAUCCCAGUAGCUCUUUGGUAAAAAUUGAUAAAUCAGCUCAAGAAUUUAUAUAUCAGUCCAAAAGUUCAUAAGUGUUGCAACAAGUGUUAGAAAAGAACAAAAUUGGAGAACAUAUAGUAUCUGAUCUCUAGUGUUUUAUAAAGCUGUAGUUAUUAAAUAGCAUGACAUUGGCAUAGAGAGAGACAUAUACAAAAAUAGAAACAAAUAAUAGUCCCAGAAUAGAUAGAUACACAUGUAGUCAAUUUAUUUUUGACAAAGUUUUCAAGAUAAUUCAGUGGAGGAAAGGAUAGUCUUUGCAAUAGAUGCAAAAGGUACUGGAACAAUUUGAUAGCCAUCUGGGCCUUAACCCUUGCCAUACAUCCUAUAGAAAUUAGCUUUAAAUGGACUGUACACUAUAAAAUUAUAGAAGAAAGCAUAGGCAAAUAUCUUUGUAACCUUGAUUAGGCAGACGCUUCUUAGAUAGGACACAAAAUGUAUGAACCAGAGGAAAAAUAAAUGGUAAAAAGGAAUUAAUUGAAAUUAAAAACGUUUGUUUUUAAAACACACAAGAAGAGGAAAAGGCAAACUACAGAUAGAAAAUAUUGGCAAAGUAUACAUCUGAUGAAGGGCUUGUUUCCAUAAUAUAAAAAGAAUUCUUACAACUCACUAAGAAGAAGAUAAACAUUUGAAAACAAAAAUAGGUGAAAGAUUUGUAGGUACUCUGCCAAAUGAAUUAUGUGAAUGGUAAACAGCAUAUGAAAAGAUGGUCAACAUUAUUAGUUAUUAAGGGAAUGCAAAUGAAUGAAUACAUAAAUUGUACAUUUAUACGUAAAAUUUUACUCAGCAAUAAAAAGUGAAGAACUAUU